CUUUACUACAGCUUCGCCUUGGCGUUAGCUGCAACAUGUGUAGGAUAGGUGGGAGGCUAUGAAUCCGGGUCGCCAGAUCUGGUGGAGCCAACCUUGAAAUACCACCCUUGUUGUUGUUGACGUCUAACCGCAGCCCGUUAUCCGGGUUCGGGACAUGGCGUGGCGGGUAGUUUGACUGGGGCGGUCGCCUCCCAAAGUGUAACGGAGGCGCGCGAUGGUGGGCUCAGAGCGGUCGGAAAUCGCUCGACGAGUGCAAUGGCAUAAGCCCGCCUGACUGCGAGACUGACAAGUCGAGCAGAGACGAAAGUCGGCCAUAGUGAUCCGGUGGUUCUGUAUGGAAGGGCCAUCGCUCAACGAAUAAAAGGUA
rnacentral:rRNA from 1 species